AGGCAGCAGUGGGGAAUAUUGGACAAUGGGCGAAAGCCUGAUCCAGCAAUGCCGCGUGAGUGAAGAAGGCCUUCGGGUUGUAAAGCUCUUUUACCCGGGAAGAUAAUGACUGUACCGGGAGAAUAAGCCCCGGCUAACUCCGUGCCAGCAGCCGCGGUAAUACGGAGGGGGCUAGCGUUAUUCGGAAUUACUGGGCGUAAAGCGUUCGUAGGCGGCUUUGUAAGUCAGAGGUGAAAGCCCACGACUCAAUCGUGGAACUGCCUUUGAGACUGCUUCGCUUGAAGAUGGGAGAGGUUAGUGGAAUUCCGAGUGUAGAGGUGAAAUUCGUAGAUAUUCGGAAGAACACCAGUGGCGAAGGCGGCUAACUGGACCAUUCUUGACGCUGAGGAACGAAAGCGUGGGGAGCAAACAGGAUUAGAUACCCUGGUAG
rnacentral:rRNA from 1 species